rnacentral:rRNA from 1 species
GGGCCCGCACAAGCAGUGGAUUAUGUGGUUUAAUUCGAAGCAACGCGAAGAACCUUACCAGGGUUUGACAUCCAACUAACGAAGCAGAGAUGCAUUAGGUGCCCUUCGGGGAAAGUUGAGACAGGUGGUGCAUGGUUGUCGUCAGCUCGUGUCGUGAGAUGUUGGGUUAAGUCCCGCAACGAGCGCAACCCUUAUUGUUAGUUGCUACGCAAGAGCACUCUAACGAGACUGCCGUUGACAAAACGGAGGAAGGUGGGGACGACGUCAAAUCAUCAUGCCCCUUAUAUCCUGGGCUACACACGUAAUACAAUGGCAUUUAACAGAGGGAAGCAAUACCGCGAGGUGGAGCAAAUCCCUAAAAGGUGUCUCAGUUCGGAUUGCAGGCUGCAACUCGCCUGUAUGAAGUCGGAAUUGCUAGUAAUCGCGGAUCAGCAUGCCGCGGUGAAUACGUUCCCGGGCCUU